UACGUAGGAGACGAGCGUUGUCCGGAAUACUGGGCGUAAAGCGCGUGUAGGCGGAUAGGCAAGUCUGCUGUGAAAGCUCCUGGCUUAACCGGGAGUGGUCGGUGGAAACUGCUUAUCUGGAGGACGGUAGAGGCUGGUGGAAUUCCCGGUGUAGUGGUGAAAUGCGUAGAGAUCGGGAGGAACACCUGUGGCGAAGGCGGCCAGCUGGGCCGGACCUGACGCUGAGGCGCGAAAGCGUGGGGAGCAAACAGG
rnacentral:rRNA from 1 species